UACAGAGGGGGCAAGCGUUGUUCGGAAUUACUGGGCGUAAAGGGCGCGUAGGCGGACUGCUAAGUCGAACGUGAAAUCCCUGGGCUCAACCCAGGAACUGCGUCCGAUACUGGUUGGCUUGAAUCCGGGAGAGGGAUGUGGAAUUCCAGGUGUAGCGGUGAAAUGCGUAGAUAUCUGGAGGAACACCGGUGGCGAAGGCGACAUCCUGGACCGGUAUUGACGCUGAGGCGCGAAAGCCAGGGGAGCAAACGGG
rnacentral:rRNA from 1 species